rnacentral:lncRNA from 1 species
AAAAUUUCGAAACCACGCCACUGACACGGUUAAAAUCGACACGAAAAAUUCGCAAAAAAUUCAAAAAUGUUAAGUCCAAAAGUACCAAUCUCAUUUUGAGGUUUUGUUGAAAAUAUCGCCAUUUCCCCCCCUUUUUUCUCCCCAUGGAUGCGCCACUGAUUGAAACUUAGUUUUUCGAAUCCGCCACAUCAAAUCAUUUACAACUAUAAAAAUUUGACCAAAAUCGCAGCCAUAGGGGCGGAGCUAUGUCAUUUUUUCUGUUUUUUUUAUUUUUUUUAAUUUUCAAUUUUUUUUGACAUUUCCUGUCAAAUAUUGAAAAUUUCGAAAAUCAAACAUUUUUCGCAUCGUCAACGCACAAAUUUUGAUGCCUCGCCCGAUUCGAUACGUUUCGCCAUAAGGGCGCUACUGGAGCUUGAAGUUUAAAAAAUGACCCCUCUUUGGUAGCCACCCCCACCCUUACCGUAGGGGUGGGAACGUUGUUCGCAGUCGCCUGGUACGUAAAAACUGUGAAAUAUUUUGGCCAUUUUGAAAAUUUUUAAAACACUUAAAAACUCCGGAUACUUCGAGUAAUAAGUUUGUCAUUUUUGGCCAUUUCAUAAAAAUUUCCCCUUUGCGAAUUUUUUGUGCCGCCCCUGUUCGAUCUAGCGGCACCAGUCAAAAAUCAUAUUUAUUUCUAACGCUUAGCAUCAAAACGCGCUAAAAUUAUAUCACAUACGACCAACCCACUCCCCACCCCUAUAAAAAACUCGCUCCCCUUAGAAAAAAAGAAAGUACGCCCCUGGGAGGUAUAAACAUUCCACCAAAAAAUCGCAAAAAAUUUAGAAAGCUUAAGUUCAAAAACACAACAUUCUUCUUUUAAAUCCACCCGAUUUACGUCCAUCUGAAUUU